GUUUUAAUAGUUUAAAAAAAACACCGGUCGUGUAAACCGGAAUUAAGGAGCCCCCCCUUUUAAAACU
rnacentral:tRNA from 1 species